rnacentral:lncRNA from 1 species
UUUAAAAAUGUACAGAUCCAAAGCAAACAUUUUAGUCUGGAUCAGAAAGAGAGUCAAGGAAAGAAGAACCUGGAGGUCACAUGGUCAAACCUCACAGCAUCCUUAAGUCUGCUCCUCUACCUGAUCUCUCAGACCCACAUCUUCUUCAGACAGCUCCUCUUCUGUCAGUCACCCCGGUGCCCUAAAACUGUCCUAAAUGACUUAAUCUACAGGGCGACAGUACUCCAGAGAGGCUGACUCUCCAACCGUGACCUUCUACGGCUAGAGUUUGCAUAAAUGAACUGGCUUAUGAGACAUGAUGAGACAGAGGGAGAUGCAGCGAGACAAGGCAGAGGU